rnacentral:rRNA from 1 species
AAAGACAGUUAGGCUUAUAAUAAUAUUUAGUUUAUUGAUCGUUUAUAUAGGAGUAAAAUCUGAAUAUAAAUAGUUAAUCUAAGGAAAACUAUUUGCUGAAGCUGUGAUAGUUUUGAGGGAAACUGGGAUUAGAUACCCCAUUAUUCUUAACUGUAAAUUUAAUUAAAUUUACCAGAGUACUACGAACUCAUAUAAAUUUAAAACUCAAAGGGCUUGGCGGUGUUUUAGACCUCUUAGGGGAACCUGUCUCAUAAUCGACAAUCCACGUUAUACCUAACCUUAUUUUGUACUCAGUUUGUAUACCGUCGUCGUCAGGUAACUUUUAAAAAAUGAAGAGUUAGCAACAAAAUUUUUUAAUUUAAACGUCAGAUCAAGGUGCAGCUAAUGAAAAGGAGAGGAUGGGUUACAAUUAUUUAAUUAUAAGAAUGGAAAACUACAUGAAAGUGUAAUUAGAAGGAGGACUUAAAAGUAAAAUUAAUUAUAUAGAUAAUUUGAAUACGGCUCUGAAACGUGCACACACCGCCCGUCGCUCUCGUUGAAAAAGGAGAUAAGUCGUAACAUAGCAGGGGUAAUGGAAAUUGUCCCUAGAUG